rnacentral:lncRNA from 1 species
UUGACCCGAUCGGCAGCACUAACUUCCAUACCAGGUCCCUCGGAGAGAACUGCUUGACCUUUACCUUCUUAUCAUACCAUCUGGCCACUUUCUUCUUGUUUUCUUCAAUACUGAUCAAAGCUCUCAAUCGUUGGCCAGCCAAGUCAUCAAGUUCCCUUUUCAUGAGUGAGGAGUAGUCAUCGGCCGUCAACUGAUCUUGGAGCGAAGUGCGUC